UACGGAGGGAGCUAGCGUUGUUCGGAAUUACUGGGCGUAAAGCGCGCGUAGGCGGCUCUGUAAGUUAGAGGUGAAAGCCCGGGGCUCAACCCCGGAACUGCCUUUAAGACUGCAUCGCUGGAAUCCGGGAGAGGUGAGUGGAAUUCCGAGUGUAGAGGUGAAAUUCGUAGAUAUUCGGAAGAACACCAGUGGCGAAGGCGGCUCACUGGACCGGUAUUGACGCUGAUGUGCGAAAGCGUGGGGAGCAAACAGG
rnacentral:rRNA from 1 species